ensembl:lncRNA
UGCUGCUGCUGCUGCUGCUGCUGCUGCUGCUGCUGCUGCUGCUGCUGCUGCUGCUGCUGCUCUUCCCCUGCGCUUUUGCCCCGGGCCGUCGGAACGUCAUGGAACAGGACUACUGCCGGAUCCUGGUGAAACCACUCUUGGCUGAGACCUGGAAACUCACAACUUGAGGCACUGAUCAUGUCUGACCUGGACGUCAUCAGGACAAAUGGAUGUUCCCAAUUAUCUCACCAACUUUUGAAACUCAUUUAAAAAACUUUAGGGCUACACUAGAAUAGUUUGCUCUGCACAGCGAACAAAUCCCCUCAAUGAUUACAAGCUUUAAACAAAAGCCCCAAAAAUGUGAGAAGAGGAGCACAAGCCUACUGCACUGCAAAUUCUUGUGAUCUACAUCACAAUGACAGUCUCACCAGUGGUGGCAGGUGAACCAAGGAAAAGGCCAGCAAAUGCUCAAAAAGAAGGUAAAAAGCCCAGAACACAGUUUUAUUGGCAGGAAGACUCUGCUUACUGUCUGCAGCACAGACUCCUGGAGAGGAAACAGGUGUUGAAUGAAAAAAAAGGCAAAAAUGGAAUACUUGGUGUGGAUAGAGGAUGAACAACACUUGCAAUCACAUCUAGUCCUCCCUAUGCAUUAACAGCAGUGCCUUAUUACAGUAUGGCUUUCAGUUAUGACGUGAGGUUUAAGUACGACAGAACACGAUGCAGAUAAUACUUCCUUGACUUGGUGAAGCUCCAUAGAGGUAAUGACAGACCUUGGGCAUAGGACCCACAGGGCAGACAGCAAGGAGCACGCUCAAUGCCUGCUUGGGAAGGCAGAUCUUCUGCUGGUUUUGUUAGAUGAUAGUGAAGAUGUAUAUGAAUGAAAUAAUAUAGUCACAUAGGAAGUACAGGAGGGGGAGGGAUCUUUCUUAGUCAUUUUUCUUUGGAAAAGGUGAAUGAUAUAGAACAUAAUUCAACAAUUAAUUUAACUGUUUAAUUACUCUUGAUUUUCAUUAAAAAAAAGAUUCCGUAAUUUAUAGCUGCUACAUUCUGACAACUUAAACUGAAGUUCUUCUGUGAAAUCGCAGCUACCAUAUUCCUGAACUGUCUAAAAUAAAUUCUUCUCUUCCUUUUCUUCAGUGUUAGAUUUGAAAAACUCAAUCCAUGGACAGAUUUUAAAAAAAUCCCUCCUGUAGCAAAACAUGGGUUCUUGUGUUGACAGAAGAGGGGUGGGGGAGGAGGAUGGGCGCUGCUCAGUGACACAGCAGAUGCCAGCCAAAAUGUGAGCAGGAACCAGGCAGGAGGAGUGUGUCUAAGGGGGCAAAGACCCAGAUUUGGACCCCUGUGCAAUGAUAAUGGGGCCAGGAGACAUGGGAAAUCUCCAUGGGAAGCUUGGAGUUCAGAGUCCUGAAAGCCACAUUUCCACUGUCUGGAGGUAGACAGCUGUCAGAAAGCAUUUGAGAGGCAAAAUGUUCAUUGUUGUUGUUUUUUUUGUUUUGUUUUGUUUUGUUUUUCCUGAGAUGGAGAUUUUGUGCAUGGGGUGUUUGGUGGGAUUAGCCAUGAGAAGAGAGGCAAUCGGGUGGGCAAUGGGCUCUGGGGCUAAUUGUUGCUCUACAGGUAAUGAUGCUUCCCAGCCUGUAUGGGAUGCUGGCUGCUGCACCCAUAUUCGCUGGUUGAAAUAUAAUAACCCGAUGGCAGGAUGUUGUUUUAUUUCCCAGAUCAGCUCCUCACAUUCAGGAAUUAGAUCACCUGCUUGAAUCUGAAUUUUCACCAGCAUCACCCAGCUGUUAUAUUCCUGCCAUCACCCCACUCUCCUGGUCUGCAGCUGUCUAACAGGAAGGAAAUUGAGCUCCAGAUCUUGGUUGGUUUAUCUCAGGCACAUGAAGAUCCAGUAAGAAAGUCUUAAAAGUUUAUGCUACAUUUGGGCGUACUGGAUUUUCUAAUGGUUUUGAACAGCAUUUUGUAACCUCUGCAGUCCUGGAUGGAGCAGAACAGUUAAUCCAGAACAAGUACUGAAUGUAAGAAAAAUAUUGCUAAUAGAUCCAGAGACACACUCGUCUGUGACAUAUGCCACCAGUAUUAUUUUAUUCCAAUUUGGCAAAAUUAAAUCUUAGUUAACAAGUAAAAAAAAUGGUAUUUGGACUGAAAUAAUGAUGAUAAAUGCAAUUCAAGUGCUCUUCUAAGAAAGGAAUACUGAGUAUAAAAUAAUAAUAAUAUUCUACACAAUCUUUGUAGGGUUUUUUCUUACACUUAGAGGAGAAGUGCCCAGAAACAAAAGACUGUGUACUGUUUCUUUCUGAACUAUCUCGGUAGUGUGCGUCUCUGCCAGAUAGUCACCUCUUUGCAUAGCUAAGCCUUUCCAUUAAUGUCUGUCUGUUUGCUGACAUGGUGGCUGUGCCUUAUGGGAGCACCAAGCAGAACGAGAAGCACAUCUGUUUCACUCCAUAGUCUAUGCAGAAUUAAGGUGUGCCAUGCCUUAUUGCUCAUUAAUAUUAUACCUUUAGGGCAGCAAGGCUCUUGGCUGGCUGGUGAAAAAAUUGUUGGAGGUGCUUACUGAGGUCAGAGCCAAGAAAUAGAGUGGGACAGGUGGAGGUCUGAAAUAAGGACACUUGGAGUCCAUGAUGCAAAAGCGGUUCCCAGCCAAGAUGCGAGCUGAGCCAGUGCACUCAUUGUCCCUGGAUUUAGCAGCAGGUAGCCACAGCUUUAUGCUGACACAGUGUAUGGUGUUCAAAGAAACUAAUUUGGUUGAUUUUGCUGGAGAAAUUCACAAAAUAUGCAAAUGCUGUAAGGCCCACUCAUUUCUGACUGCUGCAAUUCAUACAAAUUUCAAUUUUUGUUUCCAAUUCCCCUUCACUCGCUUUUCUUCUCUGCUUGUGGCCUGUAUGGAGCCACUCUUGCACACAGUGUCCCUCUUCUGAACAAGAAGUUUUUACUGAAUGUGGUAAUUUAUAAAGAUCAGAUUAAUGCCCAACCCUAGGAAAAAAAAAAUAAAAGAGCAAGUUUAGGACUUGUAAACACCACUAUCUGAAUAUGUUACUCUUUUCAGAAGCUGGCUUACAUUUAACUAGUUCUGGAUUGACCAAACUGUAGAUCUGUAAUUUUAUUUUUUUUGCAUAGUAUUUCUUAUGUCUUUGCUCUGGUAGCAGGAUUAACAUUCUUCAUUCUGUUUUUAUGACAACAUCUUCUCAAGUUGUUAAAAGCCAAGAUUCACUGUUGGAAUUUGAAGUGCAGACCAAUCCAGGUCUGAAUUUCCUUCAGUGUUUGUCUCAUGAAAUCUAUUUAAUUGGUUCAAUGAAACUUAUUACCCAUUUUGAUUUAAUCCUACUUUGUAUCCGUCUUUUUGUUGAUGUAUAUGACUGUAUGUCAAUGAGGAAUUCAACCUGAUCUGUACAUCAGACUCAGUAGGCACAUGUAUUGUCAAACAAUAGGAUUUUUUAAUGUUAAUUCAUUAAUAAAGAAGGUAU